rnacentral:tRNA from 1 species
UAAAAUAUGGUUUAGUAGGGUGGAACAGCGGCGGGAUCACCAUCCGUACACGGGGGUUAAAAUCCAUCUUCCGAUA